AAUGUGUGAGGUGGUGCUAUGUAGCAGGAACCCCUCUUGCUUUGCAAAUAGUUUUUUGUUUGUUUUCCUUUUUGCCCAAUAGAGCCCUGCUCUACUGACCCUUCAAUGUGCCCGUGUGCCUAAAUAUUCCUGGUCGUGUGAAAAGAACCCAGGUAUUAGCUGAACUAAGGAGCACAAUUCUGCAACAUUUUGGCACCCAAACACGGGGCUUGAGAAAUGAAUGCAAUUGGAGAAACUGGUUGUUUUACCAGGCGUUGAUUGGAAAUGUGUGCUUCCCUUUAAGCAGUCAAGCUCAACUUGCAGAACUGAUGGGAACCCCUUGGGAAAACUGGCCUCAAAUGUUUGUCUACACAGUCCACAUACAGGGUUCUUAACCUGCGGUGAGUAAAGAAUGUCACUUUCCAACAGGCCCAGAUAUCAUAUGCUCUUGGGACCUCAAGAAGAGAGGAGUUUACCCAAUUCAUAGGUGUGUGAGGAUAAAAACCUAGGGCUGGGCUCAGCUUUAAAUGGUCUUAUCUGAGAUUCUUUGUGAAACAGAUUUUCAUGAAAGCCAAUCUAGAGGGCCUACGUAGAAAUAAUUGUUUUUGCUGCACUUUAUGCACAUAAUCAAGCCAAUUAUAAGACUAAAGUCUAUAUUGCAAGCAACACACUCCUAUUAUGAUUUGUUUUUAACAGAAAUGAGGACGAGACAGAGAGAAAUUAUGUUUCAAAACUUAUCAUCAUUAGUUUCUAGACUUAUUAUUUCUUUUUAAGUUUUUACCUACAUUUUAGACUGACCCUGCUUGUGCCUGUGAACCAACCAACAAUCUCUGGCUGCAGCUCAGAAAGGACAAAAGAGAAUGGAUGAGGGAAACUUCCCAGGGCUUGUCUGGGUAUGCCCACAGUGGACUGGAGCCCAAAAUGCACACUGGAGGAAGUGGAUGGAGCCACGUGGAUGUCAUGCCUUAUGCAGGGGAGGAGCCUGCUCUCUUCAGCUCCUGUGGUAAUGUGGGAAUCGAUCUGUGAGGAAACACUUUCUGAAAAUGUCAGAACUCUUGAAAACAUGGAUGAGGAAAAGCAUAAGUACUGCUUUAUGCUUUUCUUAUGAAUUUUAAAAGAUGUAAUUUAAAGAUUGAAACUCCCACAACUUUGGCAGACCAACUCCUCAGAAAACAUUAUUCUUUGACAUCAAUAUGUUUUGCACAAAAUUGAAUGGCAAGUGAAAGGCAUCAAAUGGAGCUGUCAUUUAAAUGUGCUUGCCAACUAGCUUGUUUAUCAAAACAUUCCAGACCCUUUCAAAUUCUCAUUUACAUUGUUUCUUGUUUACCACACCCAUAAAUUUGUAUUACCAGCAUAUUUAACUAUCCGGCUAUUUUGGAGAUUGAAAAAAGAAGACCUGAUUUAUCAUGUGCAAUAUCUCACACAUCUGUCAUUUCUAUUCUACCGCAAUUCGAUGGAGUCUUGUUCUGUGGUCCAGGCUAGAGGGCAGUGGCAUGAUCUCGGCUCACUACAAGCUCUGCCUCCCGGGUUCACGCCAUUCUCCUGCCUCAGCCUCCUGAGUAGCUGGGACUACAGGCGCCCGCCACCACGCCUGGCUAAUUUUUUGUAUAUUUACUAGAGAUGGCUAGUGUUAGCCAAGAUGGUCUCGAUCUCCUGACCUCGUGAUCUGCCCACCUCAGCCUGCCAAAGUGCUGGGAUUACUGGCGUGAGCCACCGUGCCUGGCCAGCAUCCUCUAAUUAUUAUUCAUAGUUUGUGAAUUUAGGCCUACGUGAAUAAUAAUAUAAUAUUUACUAUGAUGUUACUAUCUACCAACCUUAUUUUUCUUUUCUAUAAAAUAGGAGCCAAAAUAAUAUUUAUGUCAUACCUUAUGAAGUUAAAAUAAAAUAUAACGAAUGAGGGGC
rnacentral:lncRNA from 1 species